UACGGGGGAUGCAAGCGUUAUCCGGAAUUAUUGGGCGUAAAGCGCCUGUAGGUUGUUUAGUAAGUCUGUUGUUAAAGACUAGGGCUUAACCCUAGAUAGGCAAUAGAAACUACUAGACUAGAGAAUAGUAGGGGUAGAGGGAAUUUCUAGUGGAGCGGUGAAAUGCGUAGAUAUUAGAAGGAACACCGGUGGCGAAGGCGCUCUACUGGGCUAUUCUGACACUCAGAGGCGAAAGCUAGGGUAGCAAAAGGGAUUAGAGACCCCUGUAGUCCUAGCCGUAAACGAUGAAUACUAGCCAUGGUCACGAAAGUGGCGAAGCUAACGCGUUAAGUAUUCCGCCUGGGGAGUACGCUCGCAAGGGUG
rnacentral:rRNA from 1 species